GAUGAACGCUGGCGGCGUGCCUAAUACAUGCAAGUCGAGCGAAGCGGGGACGGGCGAGUAACACGUGGAUAACCACCUAUCUGACUGGGAGAACUUCGGGAAACCGUAGAUAAUCCGGAUACUAUUAGAUGGAUCCACGCUGCAUUAGCUAGUUGGUAAGGUAACGGCUUACCAAGGCAACGAUGCAUAGCCGGCCUGAGAGGGUGACCAGCCACACUGGAACUGAGACACGGUCCAGACUCCUACGGGAGGCAGCAGUAGGGAAUAUUCCGCAAUGGGCGAAAGCCUGACGCAGCAACGCCGCGUGAGUGAUGAAGGUCUUCGGGUCGUAAAACUCUGUUAGUAGGGAGGCGGUACCUGAUCAAAAAGCACCGGCUAACUACGUGCCAGCAGCCGCGGUAAUAC
rnacentral:rRNA from 1 species